UCAGACAUGAGGUGCGUUCCCGGCGUCAUCUUGGGCCGUGGAGGGUUCGGCUUCGUGGUGCCCGCACUCUACCAUGGCGCUUCCGUGGUCGUGAAAGCACCUCUUUCUUCUGCGAGGACUUGGGGACGCGCAAAGGACCCCUGGCGAAAUGGGCAUCAAGCACGAUCUGACCAAGGCCAGGCAAGCCAUCCGCAGGCUCGGGGCAGGCGCUAGCUCGCGCGUUGCAUCCGGAGGGAGAG
rnacentral:rRNA from 14 species